AUUGAACGCUGGCGGCAGGCCUAACACAUGCAAGUCGAGCGAGCGGCGGACGGGUGAGCUAUGUAUGGGGAUCUGACUGAUAGAUGGGGAUAACCACUGGAAACUGUGGCUAAUACCGCAUUCUUGCGGAUGAAUCCAUAUGGGAUUAGCUAGUAGGGGGGGAAAAGGCUCACCAAGGCGACGAACUCUAGCUGGUCUGAGAGGAUGAACAGCCACACUGGAACUGAGACACGGCCCAGACUCCUACGGGAGGCAGCAGUGGGGAAUAUUGCACAAUGGGCGCAAGCCUGAUGCAGCCAUGCCGCGUGUGUGAAGAAGGCCUUAGGGUUGUAAAGUACUUUCAGCGGGGAGGCGUUACCCGCAGAAUAAGCACCGGCUAACUCCGUGCCAGCCGCCGCGGUAAUAC
rnacentral:rRNA from 1 species